rnacentral:tRNA from 1 species
GCCUUCGUGGUGUAACAGUAGAACACUCGACGUUUAUUCGAGAAAUCCAGGUUCGAGUCCCAGCGAGGACA